UGUAAACAGACAGUCACAAAACACACCCAUCUCCCUCCAAUUCUCUCACAUAAUACAACUGCCUCCUCUUCGACUACACCUUUCACUAUUCCUUCUACUCGACCUUCGACUUCAAAAUGACAUGGCAUCGAAGGCUGAAAAAAAAUGCCGAUGUUUACAAACCUCGAGAAAGCCCCAAAUAUACAGAUUGUGAAUAUUUUACUAUAAAAAUGAUUCAUGGUGGAGAGAUGCAGUAUGACCCGAAGAAAUAUGUAAAUGGCAAGGUUGAUUACUUUGACAAUUGUAAUGGAGAUGAAAUGAGUUUACUAGAAUUGAUUUCAAUGAUGAAAGAACUAGAAGAAUACGGAGGAUUUCAUACCUACUGGUAUAGGCUGCCAAGUAUUAUCGUGGGUGCAGGGUGUUUAUUGAAGAGUACUACAAUAGUACACAAUUUAAAGAAGAUGUAGUAAGAGAUAAGGAAGAAUACAAGGGUGAUAGUGAUAAUAGAUCAGAUAAAGAAUAUGAGGGUGACGGUGAUGACAGUGACACAUGUAAAGAAAGCUUCCACUCUGACCAUUCAAACAAGGAUGAGAGUGAUGAUGACUUGUUGUUCGAUACCAAUGUUGAUGAGGUUGCCGGUGAGAAAGUGAGAUAUGAUGUUGAUACUGAGGUAGGGAAUGAAAGUGAUCACUCAAGUGUCUAUGCAGGUUCAGAUGAAGAGAGAUUUGCGGCCAACAACACAAAUGAGGAUGAAACCAAUUAUCCUGUGUUUAAUGAAGAUGCAAACAUGGUGAACCCUGUUUUUCAGAGAGGAAUGUGCUUUAAAAACUCCAAGACUUUUAGGGAAACAGUUAAAAAAUAUGCCAUUAUGAAUAGGAGGCCAAUCAUAAAUUGCAGAAAUUUUGGAAAGAAGGUCCAAUAUGUGUGUCAACCACCCUGUAGGUGGAAAAUUUAUGCAUCUCCAAUGCAUAAAGGAUCUGUAACUUACCAGAUUAAAACAUAUGUGAAUAAGCACACAUGUAUGCCUACCUUCAAUCAGAAGCAAAUCAACUCCAAGUGGAUAGCAGAUUAUUAUGAGAUGGAAAUCAGAAUGAAUCCUACUUGGCCCAUCAGUGCAUUUCACAAGAAAAUUGUCAAUGACCUAAAAUGUAAUGUGAGCAAACAUGCAGUUUACAGGGCAAGGUCUAGGGCAUUGAAAAGAAUAAAUGGAACACAUGAAGAGCAAUAUGCAGAUUUAUGGAAGUAUGGUUACCAGUUGAAGAAGGUUCUUCCAGAGACUACUGUCAAGAUAUUAACUGAAAAUCCAGAACCAGAGCAAGUGAGUGGAAGAUUCCUGAGGUUCUAUUUGUGUUUGGGACCACUGAAAAAAGCUUUUAAAGCACACUGCAGAAAGAUUGUGGGACUUGAUGGAUGCCACCUUAAAGGCCCUUUCGGUGGCAUACUUAUCUCAGCUGUAGGUGUGGAUGCAAACGAUGGUAUGUAUCCAGUGGCUUGGGGAGUUGUGGAGUCUGAGACAACUGAUUCAUGGACUUGGUUUUUAAAUUUUUUAUGCCAAGACCUGCAAAUUUUAGUAGAUAAGGAGUGGACUUUUAUCUCAGAUAGGUAGAAGGGAUUAAUACAUGCAUUGGAGUCAAUUGUGCCUCAAGCUGAACACCGGUUUUGUGUCAUGCACUUGUUCCAGAACAUGCACAAAGAGUAUAAAGGAUUGGCAUUGAGGCGUUUAUUGUGGAAAGCUGCUAGAGCCACUACUCUAUCGGAGUUUAAUUUGCAUAUGAAUCAGAUGAAAGAGGUCUCACCAAAUUGUUAUGAAUGGUUAAUGCAAAAACCUAGAGAGCAAUGGUCUAGGUCUGCAUUCAGGACCACCUCACAUAGUGAUAUGUUUGUUAACAAUCACUGUGAGGUAUUUAAUAGCAGUCUGAGCAAGUUGAGGGACCUACACAUCAUCACAAUGUUUAGAGAAUUACAUAAAACAAUAAUGAAGAGGAUCCAGAUCAGAAGAGAUAAAAUGAUAACUACAAAUGCUGUCAUUUGCCCUAGUGCUCAUAAAAAAUUAACAAAGUCUAUACAUUAUGCUGGUAAUUGUGUGGUGACUUGGUCUGGAGGUUCAUCCUACAGUGUCACUAGUAGUGAUGGAGGCCAUGAAUUGGUGGUGAACUUGUUAAAGAGAACCUGUGCAUGUAGGAAGUGGGACCUUACAGGCUUGCCUUGCUAUCAUGCAUGUGCAUGCAUAGCACUAAGGAAUGAGCCAUGGGAAAAUUACAUCCAUGAUUGCUAUAAGAAGGAAACUUAUUUGCAGCUAUACGGCCAUACUUUAGAACCAAUAGUUGGUCCAGAGUUCUGGGAAGAUACCCCAGAACCAAAACCCUUGGCUCCUGCUGUGAAGAUACCUGCAGGGAGGCCAAAGAAAUAAAAAAAAUGAUGUGCCAGCGGACCUUACAAAAUUGAAAAGGACAAAUACAAAGGUUCAUUGCACAUACUGCAAAGCGGUUGGUCAUAAUCAGAGAAGUUGUGCUGCAAGGAAAUCUGAUGAGGCUACAAAGGCUGCAGCAGAAGGGAGAGAAAUCAAUGUUGGAAAGUCUAAGGUGAAGUGUAAGAAUUGCAAUCAAGAAGGCCACAAUUCAAGGACUUGUAAGAUGCAGAAAGCUCCAACAAACCGGUCUAGGUCAGAAACAUAUGAAAGAGAGUGCUUGGGAGUUGGGAACAAAGUUGGUGGGGCAAAAAAGGCACCAUAAUCAAACUACUUUAAAGAACUAAACUAUCAGUUUUAAGAACUAAUUUUUAUUUUGUGAAGCUUCUGUUUGUGAGCUAGUACCUUUUUUGUUAGUGAAGUCAUAAAUUUACUGCA